CUCGUUUGUUUCCAUGGUAUUACCAGGCUCUUACCAUACAAGUUGUAACUGGUUAUUCCCUUUUCCAUGCAAUCAACACAAACCAUAUAUGUUCUGCAACAUCGUUCACCAGUAGUUAAGCACUUUAAUUGAUGUUAUAAAACCCCAAACCACUGUUGAUUAAAGACAUAUUAAAAUUAAACAAAAUCAAAGGCUUAUCUUUCAAACAAUGCAUAUCCCACAAACAGGCACUGAACACUGAAGAAAUCGGACAAACAAAAGAGCCGUCCACAUCAACUCAAUUUAAAUGUUACUGAUGGUGUUUUCAUAAAACACAUGACAGUGUUAUGGCAAGUGACCACAAGGAAGACUGCUUCAACCUCUACAGUUUGAAUAAGUGGUGAAUGCCAUGCAGCAAUCUGCCUAUGGGAGCAUCUUUGUGGUCAUUCGCAAACCAAUGAGUCCACUCGAUGAAUGAGAGAUGACUCUUUAGUGUCUUCUCUGUGAGGUAUCCCUGCAGUCUCCACUUCUGGGAUUUGAAGGCUGACCAAGACCUGACCAGGUACCUCCAAAUCUCCCCUUCAAGAAUCAGAAGACAAGAAAAUAAACAUUAGGACUGUCAAUUAAUGAACAUUUCUAGAACAUGUAGAACUCAAAGAUUAUUUUGUUUAUCAGUAAAGAAAGGAUGCUGGUCCUCUGGCCAUUGUGUUUGGUCAUAUUGAAAAGAGAAAAAGGCAUAGCCAUAAAUACAGUUAAUAGGACGGGAGGGGACAGGCCGUUAGCUCCGGUUAGCCCUUUAGCAUCGAGCUAGCGGAGCUUCUGUCAUUCAAAUAACUCGGACAUGUUGUCUAAAACCUAUAACACCCAAUUUAUUAAAAUAUCCGGAUUUAAUCGGGCUCUCUCCCAUAAGUACAGUUAAUAGGACGGGAAGAGACAGGCUCUGUUAGCCCCGGUUAGCGCGAUGCUAAAGAGCAGCUCUACCGGAGCAUGCCACCUCAACAGGUGCAAGUUAGCCUCCGGUUUGAUAUUCGCCGGAUAUUCGGUUUACCACCCAAUCGGAUUCAUCAACAUAAGUGCAAUACAUUACGGGCUUAGUAUGUUGAGGACGGUUUAGGACACCGUAUCGCGAAAAAUCACAAACACAUGUUGUCGCCAUCAAUGUCUGUGCAACAACGUCAUUUACGUUCUGGCUGCUACCUGUUUUAGGGACCGUCAACAAAUUACACUCACCGACUGUUGGCAGAGACGUUACCAUGGAAUUGUUUCAGGAAAUGAAUCACACAAAUAUAUUGCAAUAUAGUUAAUCAUAAUGCAGUUAAUAGUUUAAUAUUCGACAAAAAUCGACCAAACUAUAUUUGAAAUUAUUAAUUGCAUCCCGUUUAACAAUAAUGCAAUAUAUUAGCAAAGUUACCUGCAGUAAGUAGCAGCCCACCAUUGGCAACUACUACUACAAUCAGGUGACAAAAUGUAUUUUUUUGUGAUUUUUAUGUUAUUUUAUAUGAUUUAUUUCCAGAAACAAUUCCAUGGUAACGUCUCUGCCACCAGUCGGUGAGUGUAACUUGUUGACGGUCCCUAAAACAGGUAGCAGCCAGAGAACGUAAAUGACGUAGUUGCACAGACAUCGAUGGCGACAACAUGUGUUUGUGAUUUUUCGCGAUACGGUGUCCUAAACCGUCCUCAACAUACUAAGCCCGGGAGAUUUGGAGGUACCUGGUCAGGUCUUGGUCAGCCUUCAAAUCCCAGAAGUGGAGACUGCAGGGAUACCUCACAGAGAAGACACUAAAGAGUCAUCUCUCAUUCAUCGAGUGGACUCAUUGGUUUGCGAAUGACCACGAAGAUGCUCCCAUAGGCAGAUUGCUGCAUGGCAUUCACCACUUAUUCAAAUUGUAGAGGUUGAAGCAGUCUUCCUUGUGGUCACUUGCCAUAACACUGUCAUGUGUUUUAUGAAAACACCAUCAGUAACAUUUAAAUUGAGUUGAUGUGGACUGCUCUUUUGUUUGUCCGAUUUCUUCAGUGUUCAGUGCCUGUUUGUGAGAUAUGCAUUGUUUGAAAGAUAAGCCUUUGAUUUUGUUUAAUUUUAAUGUCUUUCAUCAACAGUGGUUUGGGGUUUUAUAACAACAAUUAAAGUGCUUAACUACUGGUGAACGAUGUUGCAGAACAUAUAUGGUUUGUGUUGAUUGCAUGGAAAAGGGAAUAACCAGUUACAACUUGUAUGGUAAGAGCCUGGUAAUACCAUGGAAACAAACAAGGCUU